rnacentral:misc_RNA from 1 species
GUGAAUCAUCGAAUUUUUGAACGCAAAUUGCACUCUCUGGUAUUCCGGAGAGUAUGCCUGUUUGAGGGUCAGUUUAAAUAAAAAUCGGUGUGUUUGCGGCUUUUCGUGGUGACGCACCGGAUUUGGGUCUUCUUGCCUUCGGUUAGGGGAUCUAAAAUUUUCCAUGAUUUUUUUCGAACGUAUUUAAAUGAUUUUACUUACGGUUGUG